rnacentral:rRNA from 1 species
AAAGAGCUAAUUAAUUAAUAAAGUUAAUGUGAUAAAAUUAUUUUAAAUAAUUAAUUUGUAAUGAAAUGUUAUUCGUUUUUAAAUAUAUCUAGUUUUUUUAGAAAAAAAUUUAAUUUUAAAUUUAAUAAAAAAAAAAUUAAAUAUUUAAUUUUUUUUUUAUUAAAUUUUAUAUAUUAAGGGAUAAUCUUUAAUUUAAAUAUUUAUAAUUAAUAGUUAUUUAAAAUAAUUGAAAAUUUUAUAAUUUAUAUUGUUAAUAAAUUUUAAUUUAUUAAAAAUAAUUUCAUGAUAAGAUAAAAUUUAAUUUUAUAUUUAAUUUUUUAUAAAAAUAUUUAUUUUAAUUAAAAAAAUAAAUUUAUAAUGAUAAAAUUAGUAUAUUAUAUAAUUAAUUUUAUUAUUAAUUUAUUAAAAAUUAAUUUAAAGGAAUUCGGCAAAAUAUAUAUUCACUUGUUUAACAAAAACAUGUCUUUUUGAAUUUAAUGUAAAGUCUAAUCUGCCCACUGAUUUAAAAUUGAAGGGCUGCAGUAUAUUGACUGUACAAAGGUAGCAUAAUCAUUAGUCUCUUAAUUGGUGACUUGUAUGAAGGAUUGGAUGAAAUAUAAACUGUCUCUAUUUUAAUUUGUAGAAUUUAAUUUUUUAUUUAAAAAGAUAAAAUAUUUUAAAAAGACGAGAAGACCCUAUAGAGUUUAAUAAUUGAAUUUUAUUAAAUUAUUUAUAAAUUUAAUAUAUAAAUUUAUUUAAUUAUUUUGUUGGGGUGAUAAAAAAAUUUAUUUAACUUUUUUUAAAAAUAUUUACAUAAAUAAAUGUUUGGUUUGAUCCAUUUUUAGUGAUUAAAAGAUUAAAUUACCUUAGGGAUAACAGCGUAAUUUUAUUUUUUAGUUCAAAUAAGAAAUAAAGUUUGCGACCUCGAUGUUGGAUUAAGAUAAAAGUUAAAACGCAAAAGUUUAAAAUUUUUG